UUAGUGGCGGACGGGUGAGUAACGCGUGGAAAACCUGCCGUAUACUGGGGGAUAACACUUAGAAAUAGGUGCUAAUACCGCAUAAGCGCACAGCUUCGCAUGAAGCGGUGUGAAAAACCCUGGUGGUAUACGAUGGUUCCGCGUCUGAUUAGCUAGUUGGUGGGGUAAUGGCCUACCAAGGCAACGAUCAGUAGCCGGCCUGAGAGGGUGAACGGCCACAUUGGGACUGAGACACGGCCCAAACUCCUACGGGAGGCAGCAG
rnacentral:rRNA from 1 species